UAGAGUCUUCAAAACUGGACACCAGCGCACACAAUUAGUUACAACACCGGCACACAUAAUUUCUACAAUAAAUGCCUUCGCCUCACUAAUGUUUCCUGUCAACGCCAAGCGACAUGUUUGCGAUAAUUUUUGUAGCCAAAAGCCUUCCAUGUUUUCUAGUUGACCUUGUAAUAGUAAAUUCGUUUUGACUCGUUCACCCAACAUCUUAUGAACAGAAUCACUAAGAUUUGAUUUACUUUCUAUAAUUUGCAAUAGGGAGUGCCUGACAUCUUCACAAGAAGCUUCGUUCAUACAAUCGUUUGUUGUAUCGUUAAACGUGGUAAAGAUAUCAUUGUCACUGCUUUUCUUCAUCAAGUUGAGAGGAUUACUGCUAAUUUGAGGAACAGAGAUAUUCGUGGGAGGAACAGAUAUACUCCUGUUCAUAAUUUUUGAAGGUGAAAAAGGAGGAAGUGGUGAUUUACUAAGUACUUGACCAGCUAACGGUUUGGGUGCCAGCAUGUCAUCACCAUAAACCAAACGUCUACUCGAAGCCGAUUUCUUUAAACUUGAUGUGGAAGACGUUCGUUGAGUUUGACUUAAAAAGAUACCAGAAGAAGGAUCGUUCCAGUGCACCUCAAUUUUCCCAGUUUGAUGUGAAGUCAUGUUGUGUUGACGCAAAUAAUGUUGUUCUAUGUUUAGUUUGUUUAAACGAACGAAAUAAAUAAGAAUCUUUCUAUCUCGACCAAAGAAACUGGCUGGUGUAUUCCUUUAUAGCAGUUCAAGAAGGUUUGUGGUAGUGGAUAAGAAGAGACGAAUGCAACAUUGCCAUAUAUCACAUGUUCAAUAAGGUGAUUUCAGCAGCGGAACUAUUAAAAACAACGGUAGUAGGAAAAAAUGGUAAGGUUAUUAUAAUAAGGAUAAAUAUAAGUACUUAGAGCAUCAAAGUUCGUAGCUGACGAAUAAUAUCGACAUUUUGGUGUAGUAAAAAUUACCUACUCAGUUUUUACAAUAGCGCUGAAUGUGCAACGUACGGGAAUAUCAUAAUUAAUACAAUAAUGGAUUUCAAAUAAUAAAGGUCAGCAUAUUGCAAUGGCUCCGAUGUUUGAAUAAUUAUCCAUUCGAGCGAUAGAAGUAAUUAACAUUUAAUAUCCGUAGAAGCUCAACUACCAUCUAAAGCCUGAAAAACUUAAUCAACGACCUUCUAUUUAAAAUCCGUUUAUU